AUCUCAUGGGAGAAGCUCUUCUCAAUGAUUUUCAGUUGAAUUUUUACAGGCCCAUGAGGUUAGGAUAGUUAAACAAACUUUGGAUAAAUGCCGCUGGCUUUUUAUUCAUUUAUGAACUAACCCUUCAAUUCUUUUGAGGUUCAACCAUCAGCACUUUCUACAGAGCCUGAAAACAAAAUGUUUCAAUAUGAUUGGAAUACACAGUGUUCAGAAAAUGUCAUAAAAUGGGAAAUAAAACCCCAGCAUUUUAUUUAAUAGAAUUAUUCAAAGGCUUCUUUAUAAAUUUUGUUUACACAGAAAUUCAUUUAGGUCAAGUUGAGUAAAUCAGCAAAUUAGAUACGCUGGUCCCUGACUUAAUCCCUCCGUGUUUUAGAAUUCUAAACUUUCUGCCCAAUUGGCUGGGUCUGCCUGUGGAUUUCAAAUAUCUCACCAUGAAGAACAGCCAGAAGAAAACUGUAAAUUUGAUCCUCCAAGAGAGGGAAAGAGUGGAAGGUUUGCACGACUAUGGAUCCAACAAAGCUUCUGGAACGAAAUGUGGCCUUAUGAAUAACUUCGAGAUUGUCUUCCCAAACUCUCCCCCACACACACUUUCUUUCUGCUUCAAGGAGAGGACAGCUGGAGCCAGACAAACUCAGAGACAUUACAUCAGGGAUAAAGAAUUAUUAAAGAAAUGGAGGAGGAGAGAAAAGUCGAGAGGAAACCUCAAUAUAGCAUCUUUAAGUGUUUUGUCUGCUUAAAAAAAGCAAAGCACCAGAACAUAGAACCGUCUCUGGACUACCGUCACCUGCCAUCACCUCCACAUUGUAGCAUUAACCAGCAGAGGACAACUGUGCCAUCUUCUCUUCCAGAGACCAGGUGACAAGAUGCAAAGGCAUGAGGGAGCUGGCACUAAAAAGGGAAGGAGUACGACCCACUCAUGAGAAACUCUGAUGGAAUCCAAAAGUCAGAACUUCAAGACACACAAGCUCUUGCUGAUGCAAACACAAGAGCAUGGAGAGAGUCUCUGGUGGUUCACCUCUGUUCUCACGGCUUGUCUCUGAUUUCACCGGAACAGACCCUGGCUGUCCUAUAGCAGAGGACAAGAGCAGGGAAGCCUGCACACCAGCAGAGUGUGUUUUCAGAAUUACAGUCAGCAUGUCCUUUUGAAAAUGUACACACAGAAUGGGUGACAGUGUAUGGCUACUCCCAUCACAGUGUCACAGCAAGGCCCUGGGAUGAGGGGCUGGCUGUCUGCAGUGAGCAUGGCCCAGGAGGAAGGUCUGAAGGGACCACUGACUUGAUGGAGCCAUCCACCCUGAGAUUUUGCCAUCUGCCUGCAAAGACACAGCUCUCUUCUCUUCCUUGGCAGAGGAAAGUGUCACCUGCCCGUGGCUGUGGAGGGUUCCAGACUCGACCUGCCUUGUGAGGCCUCCAGGCUUCCUGGUGGGUUUCCUCCCAGGCAAAGUGACCGAUGGCUUCUCAAGAACUCAGGGCUAGGACUCGAUGCCCAGCACCUGAUCUGUGCCCCCAAGGACCAAGCUUCGUGCUCCCACCUGCCCCCGCCCCCAACCCUCCCAAGCGGAAUGUGGAUCCCAGUGGGAGAAGGCCCGUGGGAAGUCUUCUCUCCAGGCUGUGAGCAGGACCACUGAAUGGACUGAUAACCAGGCUACUGUACCAGGGCCAUGCCGGGCAGCACAGCCCACCUUGCUGCCACGGCCCACGGUAGAAAGAGCACUUCAGCAGCAGGACCAGGAGGGCUCCAGGUUACCAGUUCUUCAGCUGAGUAGUUCAACACCCACAGCGUCAAACUGAAGAGGACUCAGCCUCCUCCCAUCAAAUGCUUUCCACGGAUUGCCUUGGGUGCCAGGAUGUGGAUAUCUGUGAAAUACAAAUGGAGCUGUUGUUAUAUAAAAGACAAGCCCCAGGGGCAGGGGGAGAGCUUGUCUGCUCCGACCUAAACAAGUGUCCUAGCUAGCGAGUAGUACUGCAGAUAAAAAGAACCCGGCUAGUCCCUGCAGAGCCCCAUAGGGCUGCCAGGGUUAAGGCAAAGAAGCUCAGUGCAAUGAGGCUUCUCUGCAGAGCGGGAGCUCCCGGAGGCCAGAACACAGGAGAAGCCCCUCUGCCCCGCUCUUUCCUCAGAGGCUGCAGGGACACAGCAUCAUUGGAGGGACACACAGCCCAGUAAGAGAGACACAGUCCAGUCGGAACGACACGGCCCGAGUCGAAGGGCACAGUCCAGUUGGAGGGACGCCCUGCGCGGCCUACAGAGUAGACGCCCGGAAGAGCGCAGUGGGCAGUCCAGAGCGUGGAGACAUGCGUGUUACCCUGUUCAGCGCACCCUCAGUCGGCUCAGUCGUCCUCACCUGCUCUGGCACCCGUGCCUGGAGCCACUCCACUGCAUGAGGGCGGGUCCUGGACCAGCAGCAGGUGUGGCUCCAGUCUGAGGCUCGUCUUUUUGUCCCAUCAGAUAGUGGAAAAUUCUCUUUGGAUCAGUGGAUAGCGCUCAGGUGAAUGCAUCCCUAGCACAGUCCACUUGGCGCCUGCCUGAACAGGGUGCAAUUGGAAAGCCACCAUCCCCCAGUGCACAGCCAUGGCCGCAUCCAGCCUGAAUUUCUUUCUGAAGGCCUGAAGAGCCCUCCUGGACCCAUCAAGUGUCCUCAGAAGCUGCCUGAGGCUAUGGAGGGACCACAGAAAGGGGGAGCCACCUUUUGCAUCAGUGACCCCCAGGUGAGGCCUGGGAGGCCUGAGGCAGGUGUCUGCAGCAGAGGCCCUGGACACUGCAAGCUCCUUAGGGCCACGGGAAGGCCCCCAUUGAAGCCACAGGAGGUGUGGGUACCCUGGAGGUACCAGGAGGGCAGGCAGGGCUUGGCAUAGAGCUGCAGACCUGGGCCCCCAGGGGCACUGGGUGGAGUCCCGAAGAAGAAGGAGGAGGAGGGGGAAGCGGCUGUGCAGUGGCUGAGCAUGAGUGUCACCAAGAGAGAAGGAACCCACACCUUGAUCUGGGCCUGGGGAGGGACAAUGCCCCACUUGGCCACUUCACUCUAACCUCAAGGACAGCUCCCUUCCCUGCAGCAAAGAAGGCUCCUCCUACUCACUCAGACACCAUUCCAGAACAGUCCACUGAAUCCUCAUACAGCGUCCUGUGUGGCUUCAAUCCUCCAUUCUCACUGAGUAACCCUUUCUCUAACACUGAAAUGAUCAUUAAAAUAUUUAAUAUGUAAAGUGGAGAGACAUCCAGCGGAUCCCAGCAGCUCAGCCCACCGUGCUGCUUCCUGCCUCCCAAAGCCUCCUGAGGCCAUGCAAGGACACAGGCAACAUCCGCUGAACGCUUCCCACAGAGGGCACACCGACACCCUCUGGCUCGGCCUUCCCCUUCCCCGCAGGGCUAGGACAGUGCACACAGGCUGUGGCAGUGAGGAAUUGCCACGUCAUAGAGGACAACCUGGCUCCCUGGGAGAGAGCUGACUUCAGUUGCCCUUCACAGCACUUAGGGCCCGGCUGCUGGGGGCUAAUUAAGUCCCCAGGUGGUCUGAGGAGCACGUGCCCUGCCCUGAAGCUGGCCGAGCCCCAAGGGGUAGCUAGACCAACCCCAGCAGCCCACCAUCUUUCCCAGGUGUGCAGGGGCCCAGGUGACAGCCCCAGGGAAAAGAGAAAAUUGCAAAAUUGUUGCUGCUAAAUCAACUCCAUUAAAAAUGGCAAUUAUCCACGCUUCACUGUGGGCAACAACUCUCCAGGCCGAUUAAUGAGAAAACCUCCUCUACUCUUGGCCACUCCUCACCCAAGGAACUCUCAGCUGUUCCAGGGCUCACCACCAGUCAGAGGAGGACCCCAGGUGGAGGGUGAACUCCAGGGAUCCCCCAGAGAGGAGGCCUGCCUCGUGAAUAACAUGGGUUUAUAGACACCUGCAGGCAGAGCUUCCUUGCAGUUACCAUGGGGAUCAUUCUGGCUCUCAGAUUAGAGGUCAGUUCCUGUGGCCAGAGAAGCAGGUGCAGGAUGACCGAGGCACCAGUUCUGCAGUCAGAUAUUGGCUCCACCACCAGUCAGCUCUUUGACCUGGGGCUCAGUAUUUUUACCUGUAAAGUGGGGUAAUCACGGAGCUGACCUCAUGGGGCUGGCAGGGACCCUCCUUCACAGUGAGCGCACAAGAGACACUUGCUAUUUCUGCUUCUGGCAUCUUCACGGCGCGUAGCCCCUCUCUGUGCUCAGUGUACCCAGUAUGCCUGCUGCAAGCUGCCUGGGGUCAAAGCCUACCUCCAUUCAUUUGUUCCUGUCAUUUGUUUAGUUAACAAACGUUAACAGUGGCCAAAAACCACCUCUUCUUCCCUUGUGAAAUUUAUUGUCCAGUGUGAUAGCAUCGUAUUAAAAAAAAAUUUAAAGCUUGAACUUGUGGUUUUAGUUUGUUUUUGUUUAAUUAACCAAAUAAGUGGGAGCAUCUGAUGUUGGAUAGAAUGUGACAAAUGACUCACUUCCCCAUAGUACACAGCAUUGUAAAUUGGCCAAACCCUUCUGGAAUAUUCUAUGAUAAUAUCUAAAAUACUGAAAAUUGUUGUGUCCUUUGACCUAGGAAUUCCAACCUUGCAUGUUCAUCCUAAAAAAGUUAAAGAAAUCAUGCUGUUACACGCUUAUUCCUUGCAACAUUAUCUGCAAUAGCAAUAAAUUUGAAAAUCUUAAUGUCCAACAAAGGAUAGUAAAUCAAUACAUAGUGCUUAGCCUUUAAAUCUAUAGUUAUGGAGACUGGAUGAGCCAAAUACACCAGAAUGUAUUUAAAAAUGUACACAUUUAGGUUUAGGUUUCUUCUGAUUAGGAAAAAAUACUGGAUUGUAAAUGGAAACAUGAAAUCAGGUGUUUUAGUUUGGGCGCUUUGUUUUCCCCCUUAACAUUUCCUCUGAUGAUACUGAUAAGACGACAUAAGCAGUG
ensembl:lncRNA